CGGUAAUUCCAGCUCCAAUAGCGUAUACUAAAGUUGUUGCAGUUAAAAAGCUCGUAGUUGGAUUUCUGCAGGGACGGAGCGGCCGGACGCAACUUGCGUCUCGAGCUAGCGCUUUCCCCGCAUCCUGCCGCGAACCGUGCUACCAUUAGUUUGGUGGCGCCGGGGAUCGGCUCGAUUACUUUGAGAAAAAUAGAGUGUUCAAAGCAGGCCACACGCCUUGAAUAAGUUAGCAUGGAAUAAUGACUAAGGACUUUGGUUCUUUUCGUUGGUGUUCGGGACUGAAGUAAUGAUUGAUAGGGACAGUUGGGGCGGUCCGUAUUCCAAAGCGAGAGGUGAAAUUCUUAGACCUUCGGAAGACGAACAGCUGCGAAAGCGUUCCGCAAGGAUGUUCCCUUUGAUCAAGAACGAAAGUUGGGGGAUCGAAGACGAUCAGAUACCGUCGUAGUCUCAACUAUAAACUAUACCAGCUAGGGAUCGGCCAACGUUUAACUUUAUCGACUUGGUCGGCACCUUAUGAGAAAUCAAAGCAUCUGGGUUCCGGGGGGAGUAUGGUCGCAAGGCUGAAACUUAAAGGAAUUGACGGAAGGGCACCACCAGCCGUGGAGCCUGUGGCUUAAUUUGACUCAACACGGGAAAACUUACCAGGUCCAGACAUAGGAAGGAUUGACAGAUUGAUAGCUCUUUCUUGAUUCUGUGGGUGGUGGUGCAUGGCCGUUUUUAGUCGGUGGAUGUGAUCUGUCUGCUUAAUUGCGUUAACGGACGAGACCCCAGCCUGCUAAAUAGCGCGGCCGAGCUUUGCUCGGUGCGAGCUUCUUAGAGGGACCAUGAUGCGCGAUAGCACAAGGAAGUUUGGGGCAAUAACAGGUCUGUGAUGCCCUUAAAUGUUCUGGGCCGCACACGGGCUACACUGGCGCCUGCAACGAGCAUAUCAGCUGGCCCGAGAGGGUCUUGGCUAAUCUUUGGAACCGGCGCCGUGCUUGGGAUUGACCAUUGCAAUUGUUGGUCAUGCAACGAGGAAUGCCUUGUAAACGCGAGUCAUCAGCUCGCAUUGAAUACGUCCCUGCCCUUUGUACACACCGCCCGUCGCUCCUACCGAUGAAUGUUCCGAUGAAAUUUUCGGAGAGCACCAGAGAACGGGGCUCUGCCUUGCAGAACUGGAGGCUCAAAGUCACUUAAAUCUGAACAUUUCGAGGAAGGAGAAGUCGUAACAAGGUAGCCG
rnacentral:rRNA from 1 species